rnacentral:rRNA from 1 species
UACGUAGGGUGCAAGCGUUAAUCGGAAUUACUGGGCGUAAAGCGUGCGCAGGCGGUUCGGCAAGAAAGGUGUGAAAUCCCGGGGCUUAACCUCGGAACUGCACUUUUAACUGCCGGGCUAGAGUAUGUCAGAGGGGGGUAGAAUUCCACGUGUAGCAGUGAAAUGCGUAGAGAUGUGGAGGAAUACCGAUGGCGAAGGCAGCCCCCUGGGAUGAUACUGACGCUCAUGCACGAAAGCGUGGGGAGCAAACAGG